AGGACGAACGCUGGCGGCGUGCUUAACACAUGCAAGUCGAGCGACGCUCCUCCUUCGGGAGGAUGACGGAGCGGCGAACGGGUGAGUAACACGUGGGCAACCUGCCCCUAGCUCUGGGAUAACCCCGGGAAAUCGGGACUAAUACCGGAUAUGAAGUCGGACGGCAUCUUCUGACUUGGAAAGUUUUUCGGCUAGGGAUGGGCCCGCGGCCUAUCAGCUUGUUGGUGGGUAACGGCCUACCAAGGCGACGACGGGUAGCCGGCCUGAGAGGGCGACCGGCCACACUGGGACUGAGACACGGCCCAGACUCCUACGGGAGGCAGCAGUGGGGAAUAUUGCACAAUGGGCGAAAGCCUGAUGCAGCGACGCCGCGUGAGGGAUGACUGCCUUCGGGUUGUAAACCUCUUUCAGCAGGGACGAAGCGAAAGUGACGGUACCUGCAGAAGAAGCACCGGCCAACUACGUGCCAGCAGCCGC
rnacentral:rRNA from 1 species